GUACACUGCCAUGGAAUAUGAGAGAGUUGCAAUUUUUAUUUUAUUUUAAUAAACAUGCUGAGUAGUCUAACUUAAUGAAGAGCAAGACUAAGUAGCAGUUCAUUCUGACAGCAUGAGUAAUCUGUAAAGCACUUCACAACUAACUAGUGUUAGGUAGAUGUUAAUGUAACAUGCUUGCUAUGUUUUAAAAAAAAAAAAAAAAAGAAUAAAAUAAGAGAUUAUUCACAACUAGUAAACUCGAUCGUAGUGAAAUAAAGAGUAGGCCUUGAAUGUCAGACUAGGCAAAAUAUUAGUAGUGAUAGAUUGUGUCUGUGACACAGGACGGGUAAGUGUCGGUUGUCGCUCUGCAAGACAAUCCCAAAAGGCCUGGCAGAUUGCCUCAUAUCUUGCUUUGAAGGCUUCUCUCCAAUUCUGGCCUGUCUGGCUCGUAUGGUUUUGCUGAGGUUUCAGUGCGACGGUCAUCUUGGACGAGCCGCGUGGAUUGCAAGGUUCCUCCAUCCACUCCUCUUGAAAAAGGCUUUAGCAGACCCAGUGAGGACCGGGAUAUCCGGGGGCUCCAAGUGCUGUUUGCCCACUGGUAGGAGAUCGGCCGCGUCUCCCCACCAUUGGCGCGCCAGAUGCGCUUUGUGGCCUCAGAUGUGGACCCGGGUGAUGUCC